UACGGAGGGUGCAAGCGUUGUUCGGAAUUACUGGGCGUAAAGCGCACGUAGGCGGCUUCGCAAGUCAGAGGUGAAAGCCUGGGGCUCAACCCCAGAACUGCCUUUGAGACUGCGUCGCUCGAAUCCGGGAGAGGUGAGUGGAAUUCCGAGUGUAGAGGUGAAAUUCGUAGAUAUUCGGAAGAACACCAGUGGCGAAGGCGGCUCACUGGACCGGCAUUGACGCUGAGGUGCGAAAGCGUGGGGAGCAAACAGG
rnacentral:rRNA from 1 species